rnacentral:lncRNA from 1 species
UUGGUGGAGUCCACGUGGCGGUGGCUCCUGGGGCACGGUCAACGCGCACAGGGCGAUGCGCUCCGCUCCACCUCCUCUCAAACAGGAGGCAACAGCAGGAGGUGGUGACUCGCUUGGGAGGUUGACGGGGAUGGGCUCCAUCGGCGGAUGGCAUGGGCGGCAUGGAGGGGAUUAGAUCCGGGCAAGACAGGACCGAUCUGUCCAGCAGCAAGGUCCCGCACAUGCGAGAGGUGCCGACAAAAGAACUUCAAGGUGGUGUGGUUUCCUAGCCAUGGUAGAGGGAGAGAGAGGUUAGACGGGAGAGGAGAGAUUGGGAGAAGGAGGAGAGGUCACGGGGGCACCAGCUUGGUGGCUCGCCGUCGACGAACGUCUACCAAAGUGGGAGCUCAUGGCCGGGGUGCGGCUUGAUCGGGAGGAGCUCAUCUCCUCCCAGAUCGAGACGAGGUGCGGAGGCAGCGACAUACAUGCGACGGCUGGAUCCGUGCUCGGGCGGGCCGGAUCUGGGUUUCGGUGGGCCCGUAUGGCUAGGAGGUAGGAGCAGACCUGGCCAAACAGACCAGCACGGCAGGGCCCGACCCGGCCCGUGGUAAUUGGGCCUGGUACGACACGGCCCGCUCAGGCACGUUUAUUCGUCGCGCCGUGUCGUGCCGGCCCAUGGGCUGCGCCUCUAGGCCCAGACAUGGCUCAAUUAUUAAAUGGACUGUCAUGUUGGUCCGAUUAGCACGCUCGGCCGCAUUUUUCUAGCUUUAUGGGCUUAUUUUUAGGCCUAUUGGGCCA